GACGACGCUGGCGGCGUGCUUAACACAUGCAAGUCGAACGAGUGGCGAACGGGUGAGUAAUACGUGGGAACCUGCCCUCCUUUUUGGGAUAAGCCUUGGAAACGGGGUCUAAUACCGAAUAAAGGGGGAUGGGCUCGCGGCCUAUCAGCUUGUUGGUGGGGUGAUGGCCUACCAAGGCGACGAUCAGUAGCGGGUCUGAGAGGAUGAUCCGCCACACUGGGACUGAGACACGGCCCAGACUCCUACGGGAGGCAGCAGUGGGGAAUUUUGGACAAUGGGCGCAAGCCUGAUCCAGCCAUGCCGCGUGUAUGAAGAAGGCCUUCGGGUUGUAAAGUACUUUCAGCGGGGAGGCGUUACCCGCAGAAGAAGCACCGGCUAACUCCGUGCCAGCAGCCGCGGUAAUUC
rnacentral:rRNA from 1 species